rnacentral:rRNA from 1 species
UACGUAGGGCGCGAGCGUUGUCCGGAAUUAUUGGGCGUAAAGAGCUCGUAGGCGGCCUGUUGCGUCCGCUGUGAAAUCCCAGGGCUCAACCCUGGGCGUGCAGUGGAUACGGGCAGGCUGGAGGCAGGCAGGGGAGAACGGAAUUCCCGGUGUAGCGGUGAAAUGCGUUGAGAUCGGAAGGAACGCCCGUGGCGAAAGCGAGGUCCUGGACGUCUACUGACGCUGAGACGCGAAAGCUAGGGGAGCGAACGGG